GACGAACCACCCGACCGUUAUUCGGAAUUACUGGGCUUAAAGGGUGCGUAGGCGGUCGGGUAAGUCUGAUGUGAAAUCUCACAGCUUAACUGUGAAACUGCAUUGGAUACUAUCCGGCUAGAGGAAUGGAGGGGAGAGUGGAAUUCCUGGUGUAGCGGUGAAAUGCGCAGAUAUCAGGAAGAACACCCGUGGCGAAGGCGGCUCUCUGGGACGGUACUGACGCUGAGACGCGAAAGCGUGGGGAGCGAACAGG
rnacentral:rRNA from 1 species